UGUUAGACCCCCGAAAACUCAAGUAUCCGGGGUCUCAGGCCAGGUUCGCGGUCACCCCAAUCACCAGGCGGAUUCGAGAGCUUGCUGCAAACUGCACGAGGCUUUAUUGUAAUUUAACGAACUAACCCCAUGUUAGCUCGGGCCAGGUUCGCGGUCACCCAAUCACCAGGCGGAUUCGAGAGCUUGCUGCAAACUGCACGAGGCUUUAUUGUAAUUUAACGAACUAACCCCAUGUUAGCUCGGGUCUUUCACCCACCCGCCAUGGCAGACGGCUAGAAAAAGACGGCUCCUAAGGUCUCCCCAAAGAUCUUAUAGGGCAGCGUAAGGGGAGUGUCUAGGGGUACGCACAGGCUCAUGAUUGGUGUGCCUCCAGGCUUGGAGGGCUUGCCCUGUGUUGAUUGGCCAACUGGUUGUUAUGGCCCAUAGGCCCUCCCAGGGUGGUUGCUAUGCUCUGUGUGUCAUUGCUGUGCACUUGUCCGUAAAGCACACCCAGAGCCGUAAAGCAUAGCGCCACCAGCUAACUUCUGAUUGGUUCCUUGCCACGAGGCAGGCGCAUCUGACUUCUAGUGACCAAGACAAGGUCAUGGCAAGCACAUGUUACUGUCAUGGCUGCCGAAAUGAGAAGCUGGUCCCUUCAGAAGGCACAUCUGUUAGUUAGUACACAUCUGUAAUUUCAUCACCUGAAAGGCAGAGACAGGAGGAUCCAUCCACAAAAGUUCUAGAC
rnacentral:lncRNA from 1 species